AUGUACCACUCGUACACUGCGACACUGCGCGCCGUCCACGCCCACCUGACGAGUGCUGGCUAGGUUUUAGUAGCA
rnacentral:sRNA from 2 species